UACGGAGGGGGCUAGCGUUGUUCGGAAUUACUGGGCGUAAAGCGCGCGUAGGCGGACCUGCAAGUCGGGGGGUGAAAGCCCCGAGGCUCAACCUCGGGCUUGCAGUGGGUACGGGCAGACUAGAGUGCGGUAGGGGUGACUGGAAUUCCUGGUGUAGCGGUGGAAUGCGCAGAUAUCAGGAGGAACACCGAUGGCGAAGGCGGGUCUCUGGACCGAUACUGACGCUGAGGUGCGAAAGCGUGGGGAGCAAACAGG
rnacentral:rRNA from 1 species